rnacentral:lncRNA from 1 species
UUUGUUUCGCUGUUGGUUCCGGGCAUUUUUUGACCACGAAGAUCUGAAGUCGGGCAGGAGACUCUAACUCUAGCGCUUGGUGGGAGGCAACCCACCGUUGGUUUGUUUUUAGUUUUUUUUUUUUUUGUUGUUCUUUGUUUUGUUUUUAGUUGGUUGAAAGCAUAAACACAAUAAAACACCCCCCCACACUUAAAGCAUGCCAUGUCCUCAGGGCACGAAAGAAAUAAGAAGAGUUGAGUAAACGUACCUGAUUAUCGGCAUUUGAGAAACUAAAGCUUCGUGAGAGAUGGUGAAGAAUGGAGUUUGUGGUCGAUGCAGAGUAGAGACGGCGGCGCUGGUAGGGCAGAGGAGAGAGUGGUUCCACUGGCAACCGAACUUAAGACAAAGAACUAAACACCAACUAAAAACAAAACAAAGAAAAAAAAAAAACCAACGGUGGGUUGCCUCCCACCAAGCGCUA